CCUACGGGAGGCAGCAGUAAGGAAUAUUGGUCAAUGGACGCAAGUCUGAACCAGCCAUGCCGCGUGAAGGAUUAAGGUCCUCUGGAUUGUAAACUUCUUUUAUUUGGGACGAAAAAGGGCCUUUCUAGGUCAACUGACGGUACCAGAUGAAUAAGCACCGGCUAACUCCGUGCCAGCAGCCGCGGUAAUACGGAGGGUGCAAGCGUUAUCCGGAUUCACUGGGUUUAAAGGGUGCGUAGGCGGGUAGGUAAGUCAGUGGUGAAAUCCUGGAGCUCAACUCCAGAACUGCCAUUGAUACUAUUUAUCUUGAAUAUUGUGGAGGUAAGCGGAAUAUGUCAUGUAGCGGUGAAAUGCUUAGAUAUGACAUAGAACACCUAUUGCGAAGGCAGCUUACUACGCAUAUAUUGACGCUGAGGCACGAAAGCGUGGGGAUCAAACAGGAUUAGAUACCCUGGUAGUCCACGCCCUAAACUAUGAUUACUCGACAUUUGUGAUACACAAUAAGUGUNUGAGAGAAGANAUAAUAAUACACCUAGGAGUACGCGCGAGAGAGAACGACAAANAGAAGUUAGUACGGACGUGAGACGUACGACCGACGGACGACGACGAGGGGAGGGAGGGAG
rnacentral:rRNA from 1 species